CACAAAAAAUUACUUUACUUAACCGUUCAAAAACAAUUCGAGUUGUAGAUUUCGUCAGUACGUCAGAUAAAUUAUCAAUCGAAGAUAUUUUCUGUAAAUAAACUAAAUUCUUGUUAAUUAAAUCUCUAACGUGGUGAUAUGCAACAUCAAUAUGUCUGGUUCUUUUACUUUCUACCGUGUUUGCAACUGCAAUAGCUGCAUUACUAUCAGAAAAAAUCGGUAUUGUUUGAAUCGGAAUUUCUAGCUCAACAAAAAGAUUACGCCACGCCAUUGCGUGUUUUCCAGCUAAACUUAUUGCAACGUAUUCAGCUUCCGCGGAAGACGUCGAGACACAGCCUUGUUUUCUAACUACCCAAUCUAUGACAUUACCAUAAUGAUAAGUCAUGAUACCAGAGGUCGACUUUCUAUCUAAAACAUCUCCAGCGAAAUCAGAAUCAACGAAAAUACGAAACGAAUGUUUAUCAACUUUACCAGAUUUGGUUCCAUUGGAGUCGAAAUACGAUUACAAUUUUCAAGACCGAACUCUUUAAUCAGUACAUUUAUGUACGAUUUUUGAUGAAGAAGGAUACGAUUUUCAUUACGGUCAAACUCUAAUCCAACAAACUUUUUACAUUCACCAAGAUCACGAAUACCAAAACGAUUAUUUAAUUCACGUACCAGCCAUUCAAUUAAUGGAUUAUCACACCCUGUGAUAAGAAAAUCAUCGACAUAAACUACAAAAACGCAACGCAAUGGAUUAUUUUUAUCAAAAUAUACACACGGAUCGAUUUUUGAUCUUUCGAAACCCAACUACUCGAAAACCAAACAUCUUUUACUUCCAUUGCUUUCAACUCAGCAUCUAUCGCUUCUUGCCAAAACUUGGCUUCAGGACCACUCAAAGCUUUCUCGUACGUAAGUUCAUCAGCUCCAACCAUUGCAUAACAACUACAAUCAUCUGUAUCACUUGAAUCAACAUCAUCAUCACUUUCACUAAUAUGAUCUGUGGCCUGAUUACCAAUCGAAAUAUCAACCCAUGACGAACAUUCAGGUACAGGAUCACUAGUAUGAUCAAUUACGUUAAUAUUAGAAUCAUUUACCGAAUUCGUUCUAAUAUAUUCAUUAAUUACAUCGUGUAAUUUUCGUGUCUCGUCGACUAAUACAUUCGAACUAUUUUUAAUUUUGUUUGUAAAAACAUCAUACAACACAUAACCUGUCUCUGUGAAACCUACCAAAACAAGAUCAUUUGAUUUCUCAUCAAAUUUUUUCCUUUUUUCUUUAGGUACGUAAGUACGAGCUACAGAUCCAAAUAAACGAAUAUACGACAAAUCCGGUUUCUUUUUAUUCCAUACUUCAUACGGUGAUUUGAAACCAAGACUCGAAUGGGGUAAACGAUUAUACACGUAAUUUGCCGUAUACGCAGCAAAAAGCCAAAAUUUCGAAGUCAAACCUCCUUCCAAAAGAAAUGCACGUAUUUUUUCUUGAAUCGUACGGAAAAACCUUUCGACUGUGCCGUUAUGUUCCUUCUCAUACGGU